rnacentral:rRNA from 1 species
GGAAACCCUGGUGGAAGCCCGAAGCGAUUCUGACGUGCAAAUCGAUCGUCUGAUUUGGGUAUAGGGGCGAAAGACUAAUCGAACCAUCUAGUAGCUGGUUCCCUCCGAAGUUUCCCUCAGGAUAGCUGGAACCCGUGUGUGCAGUUUUAUCAGGUAAAGCGAAUGAUUAGAGGUCUUGGGGUUGAAACAACCUCAACCUAUUCUCAAACUUUAAAUAGGUAAGAAGUCCGACUUGCUUAAGUGAAGCCGGACGUUGAAUGCAGGGUUCCUAGUGGGCCAUUUUUGGUAAGCAGAACUGGCGAUGCGGGAUGAACCGAAAGCCGGGUUAAGGUGCCAAAGUCGACGCUCAUCAGACCCCACAAAAGGUGUUGGU